AACCAAUAUUUAUAUAGUAAGUU
rnacentral:snRNA from 1 species